GCGGGGAUAGCUCAGCUGGGAGAGCGUCAGACUGAAGUCCAACUUCAUUCUCAAAUCUGAAGGUCGUGUGUUCGAUCCACACUCACCGCA
rnacentral:tRNA from 1 species